GGCGAACGGGUGGAGUACACGUGGGUGAUCUGCCCUGCACUCUGGGAUAAGCCUGGGAAACUGGGUCUAAUACCGGAUAGGACCAUGCUUUAGUGUGUGUGGUGGAAAGUUUUUCGGUGUAGGAUGAGCCCGCGGCCUAUCAGCUUGUUGGUGGGGUAAUGGCCUACCAAGGCGGCGACGGGUAGCCGGACUGAGAGGUUGGUCGGCCACAUUGGGACUGAGAUACGGCCCAG
rnacentral:rRNA from 1 species